GGGUGACACGGAAGGUGCAGCGGGGAGGGGGGUGACACGGAAGGUGCAGCGGGGAGGGGGUGACCCGGGAGGUGCAGCGGGGAGGGGGGUGACACGGAAG